rnacentral:lncRNA from 1 species
UUCUUGAUACUUGUUAUCACAGGUGUCCCAAGGCCUGCCCAGUUACCCCAAUUCCCACACUGGUAAUGAACAAGCACUGGAUGUCCAGGGAGUCUUUUGUCUUUGCUGCCCACAGCAGCUUAGAUCAACCCAAGUCUCAGUUUCUCUCAAGUCUCUGUGUUUUUUCUAUUUCCCACUUUCCUAUCUUGCUGACAUCAUACCGGCUUGCAGGAGACCAGGAUCACUGCAGAGAGCUAAAGAUGGAUUUUACAUAUUUGCCUUAUAAAGACAAUUCUCCUUUCUACAAAAACAGUUACUUUGAUUUAAAGGCAUUGAGAAUAGAAACAAUAACCAACUGCGGACAAGAGAAGUGAUGUCUAGUACUCCCAGAUGAAUUGACAGGUGCUCAGUUGUUUACUUGAGUCCUCCUUCAGUAUGAAGUGACAAGAAUCAUCUAUGAACAGCACGCUUGGAACAAGUAUAGGUAACAAUAUUUCAAAGAAGUUGAGAAAACUAAUUUAGAACAAACUGAUGUAGAAUUUGUUAAGAUGUGUUUCAAUUGAUGCUGGAAAACUGUAGAGAGUGCAAAAAGGCUAAUUUGAAAAAUUUUAAAAGCUUGUAAAAAUACAAGGUGUUUUAUGACCAUAUGCAUUCGUUUUGCUACUCAUUGUCUGCUAUUUUGCCUAAAAUGUUUUGCUACCAUGUGUUAGCAUUGUCACUGGUAAACUUCAUUCACUCUAGAAGAUAUUUCAUAGAUACUGUUUGUUUGUUAGUCUGUUUAUUCAUUUGUUUCUGGUCAGAUUUUGAAGCUGAAUAUCCUGAACUUAUCCUACUAUACAGCAGUUGGACAGGUCAAGAUCAAUAAAACUUCUUUGAGUUUUUUGAGCUGAAGAAUGAGACCAAAAUAUUUUUCUUUGUAAAAAAUAACUUGCAGUUGGCCUCUAUUAGCAGCUACUAAAUGUCUUUAAAAAUUAACUUUAGCUAUGAAUUUGAUAAUGUUUCUAAUAAAUUCAACCUGUAAUUUCAAGGCAAAAUAGUGCUUAUAAAAGUUAUACUGUAAUAAAUCAUUUAGACAGUGUUAUAUGAAUCAUUGGUAUAAUGUAAACUUAUUUUAUUCAUUUCUGUGCUAUCAAAAGUUAAAAUAAGUUUUCUCUUCCCACAAAUAUUUUGAGCAUAUGUGAUUUGCAAGACCAAGCUACAGCUUUAAAAGCAUUUUUUCUCAUCUUAAUGUAAAGACAAAGGAAAUGUCUAUAUUUCAUAAAUCAUUUAACUUUACAAUUGAAACACUGUCAUCUCAUUUUUAAAUUGGAAAUAAUUACAAUACAUAGUAAAAAUAACAAGAAAAUAUAGAAUUUUAUCAAUGCCAUCUAUGGGAUAAAUAUCUGCAAUUAAAAUCAUAUGUUAGUACUUUGAUAACAGUGUGUGGCACUUCUGUAUCUGAAAAAAAAUUUUUUCAAAGAUGAACUCUGUAAAAUCUCAUUUACAUCAGCACCAACAGAUAAACAUUUAUCAUAAUUUGUAAUGGGGAACAUUGUUUUUAAACUCUGAGUAAAUGAAAUCUUAUUAAAAUAAUUCCCUAAUUACACUCAAUUAUAAUGUGUUCAAUUUCCUCUAUAAAAUUACCAAAAAAAAUCUCUCUUGUGGUGCAUAUAUCUACAUAAUAUUCUCAAUUUUGCAUUUUAACCUGCAAAACCUAAUGUAUGGAGUAUCUAAUUUGGUUCUUUACAGAAAAAUUUGUUGAUUCCUAAUCUUUGCAAACAAAAC